CCUACGGGUGGCAGCAGUGAGGAAUAUUGGUCAAUGGACGAGAGUCUGAACCAGCCAAGUAGCGUGAAGGAUGACUGCUCUAUGGGUUGUAAACUUCUUUUAUAUGGGAAUAAAAUGAGGCACGUGUGCCUUUUUGUAUGUACCUUAUGAAUAAGGAUCGGCUAACUCCGUGCCAGCAGCCGCGGUAAUACGGAGGAUCCGAGCGUUAUCCGGAUUUAUUGGGUUUAAAGGGAGCGUAGAUGGGUUGUUAAGUCAGUUGUGAAAGUUUGCGGCUCAACCGUAAAAUUGCAGUUGAAACUGGCAGUCUUGAGUACAGUUGAGGUAGGCGGAAUGCGUGGUGUAGCGGUGAAAUGCUUAGAUAUCACGAAGAACCCCGAUUGCGAAGGCAGCUUACUAAACUGUGACUGACAUUGAUGCUCGAAAGUGUGGGUAUCAAACAGGAUUAGAUACCCGAGUAGUC
rnacentral:rRNA from 1 species